GCGUCGGAGGUGCAACGGGUUAGAGCACGCGCUCCCGGAUUGAGUGAGACGUGAGUUCAAGCCCCGCCUGAUGCA